GAUGAACGCUGGCGGCGUGCCUAAUACAUGCAAGUCGAGCGAACAGACGAGGAGCUUGCUCCUCUGACGUUAGCGGCGGACGGGUGAGUAACACGUGGAUAACCUACCUAUAAGACUGGGAUAACUUCGGGAAACCGGAGCUAAUACCGGAUAAUAUAUUGAACCGCAUUGUUCAAUAGUGAAAGACGGUUUUGCUGUCACUUAUAGAUGGAUCCGCGCCGCAUUAGCUAGUUGGUAAGGUAACGGCUUACCAAGGCAACGAUGCGUAGCCGAGCUGAGAGGGUGGGCGGACACACUGGAACUGAGACACGGUCCAGACUACUACGGGAGGCAGCAGUAGGGAAUCUUACGCAAAGGGCGAAAGCCUGACGGAGCAACGCCGCGUGAGUGAUGAAGGUCUGCGGAUCGUAAAGCUCUGUUAUUAGGGAAGAAAAAAUGUGUAAGUAAAUAUGCACGUAUUGACGGUACCUAAUCAGAAAGCCACGGCUAACUACGUG
rnacentral:rRNA from 1 species